rnacentral:rRNA from 1 species
AUACGUAGGGGGCGAACGUUGUCCGGAUUUAUUGGGCGUAAAGGGUACGCAGGCGGCCAGAUAAGUCAGAUGUGAAAUCCUAGGGCUUAACCCUAGUUAGCAUUUGAAACUGUAUGGCUUGAGUUAAGGAGAGGAAAGUGGAAUUCCUGGUGUAGCGGUGAAAUGCGUAGAUAUCAGGAGGAAUACCAGUGGCGAAGGCGACUUUCUGGACUUAUACUGACGCUGAGGUACGAAAGCGUGGGGAGCAAACAGGAUUGGAUACCCUGGUAGUCCACGCCGUAAACGAUGAGUGCUAGGUGUCGGGUGUCAAAGCUCGGUGCCGGAGCUAACGCAUUAAGCACUCCGCCUGGGGAGUACGUACGCAAGUAUGAA